GGGAUACCCGAGGGAAACUUCGGUUAAUACGGUAUAAGACCACACUACCGCAUGGUAGAGGGGUAAAAGGGGCAACCUGGUAUGAGAUGGACUCGCGUCGCAUUAGCUAGUUGGUGAGGUAACGGCCCACCAAGGCGACGAUGCGUAGCCGACCUGAGAGGGUGAUCGGCCACAUUGGGACUGAGAUACGGCCCAGACUCCUACGGGAGGCAGCAGUGGGGAAUAUUGGGCAAUGGAGGAAACUCUGACCCAGCAAUGCCGCGUGAAUGAAGAAGGUCUUCGGAUUGUAAAGUUCUUUAGUCAGGGAAGAAGUCAAUGACGGUACCUGAAGAAUAAGCUCCGGCUAACUACGUGCCAGCAGCCGCGGUAAUACGUAGGGAGCAAGCGUUGUUCGGAAUGACUGGGCGUAAAGGGUGCGUAGGCGGUUGUACAAGUUAGAAGUGAAAUACCCAGGGCUUAACUCGGGUGCUGCUUCUAAAACUGUAUGACUUAAGUGCAGUAGAGGUUAGUGGAAUUCCUAGUGUAGCGGUGGAAUGCGUAGAUAUUAGGAGGAACACCAGGGGCGAAGGCGGCUAACUGGACUGCAACUGACGCUGAGGCACGAAAGUGUGGGGAGCAAACAGGAUUAGAUACCCUGGUAGUCCACACUGUAAACGAUGGAUACAAGGUGUAGGAGGUAUCGACUCCUUCUGCGUCGCAG
rnacentral:rRNA from 1 species